GCAGGUGAGGCGGGUGGGGACAGCGCCCCCCGUUUGGGAAGCCCCGCCGCCCUGUGGGAGGAGCCCGGCUGCUGGCAGAGCUGGAACCACUAUUCCUGAGGCUCAGAUCUGCACCUCACCCACACUCUGCUGCACGGUUACACCCAGGGGGGCGUCCGUGAGAGGGAGAGAAGCCUCCAGGCCUUUUCUAAGAAGCAGCCAGAGGCCGGGGCAGCAGCCGUGGGCCUGACCCCUCUCCUGCUGCAGGGUGCCACCGAGUGCCCAUUUCCAUAAGCCACUCUCCACACGGUAACAGGAGCACAAGACUCUCAGAGCGACGGAGCUGCGGCCUCCCAUGGCAGGCCGGGAGCCCCGGCCAGAGGCUGACAGGUGGUCCGAGGAACCCCGUCAAUAUGGGGAGGAGGGCCAUGGCCCCCACAGGCCGUGUCCUGACACUGGGCCUUCAAGGGAUUCUUCGGGCUCAUCACGUGUCCAUGGCUCAUCGGGCGUCCUGUGUCGCUCCGACGGAGCAGCAGCGGGAGGCCGGGCCUCGCCCCCGCAAGAAUGUCCUCGCGCGCUCAGAUCCACUCCACACAGCAAGCCCCAUCCUCGAGAAGGGGGUCCUUCUCCUGCACAAACGAAACGCCCUGGCUGGGGCACCGGGCUCGCUGCCGUGUCCACGGAACCUGCGCGAGUCGCGCCGCACGGCGUCUCCCGAAGCCAGAGGGAGUUAAUCUUCACGACGACUGGAUUAUGUUUUCAAAACACAGAAUUACAAACUCCUUCUUCCGAAUAUUUCUGAUUUGAAGCUUCGGUAUCUAUUACUACAUUUGUCAUAUACCUUUAAUUGUCCAUUUUGGGUGCUGCUCAAGAAAAAUGUCCUUUUUGAAGAUACAUACAUAAUUUUAAUGUUUGGUUUCUGAUGUGCUUUGUAUUUUUCAU